CGGUACUUUUAUGGAAACUGCGACCAGCAGCCAGUCGAGUCGGUUCACAAAGUGGUCGCACCUCGGAUCGUCCCGCUUGGCCUGAGAUUCGCUCCUUCUGGUUUCUAUCGAAGCAAAAGGAUUUUCUGUUUUUGUUUUGUUUUGUUUUGUUUUGAAUCAAACACAGGAGGACGACAGCGCGUCCAACGAGUCUGGCCAUUUUGUCAAGGGUCUGUGGGGCGACAUGUGGGUGCCAACUUGAGCUCCAUCCAACUGCCUAUCAGUCGUCAGAAAUAACCAUGAUCACAUGUCCUGCCCCCACAAGUGGACUAUAAAUAGAGGUCAGCAGCAAGCUUCCAUUGCACUCUUUCUCAACACACUGGAGCAGCCAUAUUUGCCCCUUACUUUAUGGUCAAGAAGUGCCUGUCACACAUAGAAACCCCAGCAAACCAGACGAGCACAAAGUCAUCAGGAAAGGAAGAAGAUCAGAAGCCUUUCACAUGGCGGAGAACUUGAAGCUUGAUACUUAACAAUUAAAGGUGCAAUAUGUAAGAACUGACCACCUGUCGAAUUCAUGCUCAAAACAAAUAGGGGGCAGCAUACUGCUGGAGUAACCGCUAACUGCUGCUGACUGUAGCUGCUGUAAGCUAGUUAGCUCAGUUAGCAAACUGGGAAUUCAGAGAGACUAGGGAGAGGUUUUCCUGACCCCCUAGCACACUCAAAAAACGGAAAUGUCGACUUUUUAUUUACAAUUUAUUUUGUCAUCAGGUUCCAUAAAAUUGUAUUUGGUUAGUUAAAAGUAAAAAUGUUAAAGCCAUCUAACAUAAAUCACUUGUAUUAUAGUAAUACAGCCAACUAAUAAAUUACUUAUAUGAUCAAGAAGAUAUAUUUAAGCUUAGCCAACAUACAUCAUUUUAAGUUCAAAUUAAUUUAAACAUUAGGUUUUCAUCUUAUUCAUGUAUUUGUAAUCAGUUUAACAUAAUUAGAGUCAGAAUUAGGUUCCACACAAAUUAAUUUGGUAUGCCUAACAUCAGUGUAUUAUCUCCUGUAUUUAUAUACAUAACAAUGAUCAAUUUGGUGCACUUGGUAAAGACUUGUUCAUGACUCAUUUGUUUUUACAUAUUUCAAAUAAGAAAUAAAAGCUUAAUUCUACGGUUACAAUUUCUUGAAUGCAA
rnacentral:lncRNA from 1 species